CCCUUAGAUGUUCUGGGCCGCACGCGUGCUACACUGAACGGUUCAAUGGGUAAGGUAGUGCGAAAGCAUGACCUAAUCUCGAAAUCCGUUCGUGCUUGGGAUAGAAGCUUGCAAUUAUCCUUCUUGAACGAGGAAUACCUUGUAAGCGUGAGUCAUCAUCUCACGCUGAAUACGUCCCUGCCCUUUGUACACACCGCCCGUCGCUCCUACCGAUUGAGUGUUCCGGUGAGGCUUUGGGAGAAUGGCCUCAACAUGAGUUUAUCGUGUUUUGCCGUUUGAACUUAGUCAAACCUUAUCACUUAGAGGAAGGAGAAGUCGUAACAA
rnacentral:rRNA from 1 species